AACUAUUGAAUGUGGAAUUAAACAAUAACAGUAAAUAAGAUACAAAACACAAGAUCUCGAAGAAACUAUCUUCUUUAUUGAAUAUUAUGAAGAUUACAAGAAUCUCUGCCUCACAAUACUCUCUAGACAAGCUAAGCCCUAGUUGCCUCUCCUAUGUUUUGGCCUUGGCCAAAACAUCUUUUUAUAAACCUUGGACGACUUCGAAUCAUACAAGGAAACCUAUUCCCUAUUCACCCGGAAUAAGGAAAUGUGUCUUUAGAACUUUUCAGCUCGACCCCAGCAAGGUGUUGCGCCCUGGACUCGCAACGUCGUCGCUUCGCGACGACCAAGUCGUAGGGUGGCAAAUGUCUAUCCUCUAGACACUAAUCUCAAGGAUCAUUAAGCUCCUAAUAGGAUACACCUGUAUCAACAAGGAUAAAGAAAUAAACUAAUUUAAUAAGGGUAGUGGUAUAUGACCUCUUAAAAGGGUUCUACCAAGAAUUGAAACACAUGAUGUGUCAUAAAAGGUUUCUCUCCUGAUGGCUACUUGACUUCUAGAAGGGGUUUCCAGUUUAUCGGAUUUAAUCCAUCAUCCAAGAUCGUUUGAUACAACCAAACUGCAUCUGAAUCAACCUCUUGGAUUACUCAAACAGAUUCAAAUCAAUAAAUUAUGACUCAUUAGGUUUGGAUCAACCACACUCCAAUCUCAUAUUGACCCGAUCAAAAAAUUAUUCACAUUUUUUUGCAUAAUUUUAUUAAUUUCCUCUGGACAAACAUGGACACAAAUAAGAUUUACUUAUAUUCAUAUUAAACUAUAUCGGAUUCGGAAAAUAGCUUUUUGUUAUGAAUGAGAUUGGAUUAACAUCAUCUACAAUCCUUAAUAAUUAGCUUCAAUUCCAACAAGAAAAUAUCUUAUGGACCAGACUUGGAUAAUUCUGAAUCUGACUCGAAACUGAUUUAUUGGUAAAGCCUAUGUAAAGCAUUUCCACUUCAAUGUGUAUAUUAUUAUUUUAGGUUGUAUUCUUGUGUUUUUACUUUUUAAGUUUGGAGAACUAUAGGGAAUCAGGCGAAUGAGCUUGUGGCUCAGCAGUAGUAUCCCUCUCACAAAGUGAAGAGGUUGUGGGUUCGAAACACGUCAGAAGCUGAUGGUUUGAUAAAAAAAAAAUUCCUCACAUAAUUUAAAAAGGGUAGGCCUCGCUUGCGAAUCAAAAAAUAACUAUAAGGAAUCGAGAUUCCUUUAAAAGGAUAAAUUUUAGGGAAAAAAUGAGAAGAGAGAUUCAUAGAGAUUAUUUUACAGAUUAAACGAAAGUAUAUUCCUUUUGCAUAGGAAAGCGAUUCAUUUUUAAAGUUAAUUGACCUUGAAAAUAAGCACUACUUAAAUUCAAAAUUUCUCUUGUAUAUGCAUGAUGGCUAAAAGUGAUUAACUUACCUUUCUCUGCCUUUCAUAUUCAUUAUGCCAAGACUUUGGUUCCUAUAGGCACUAAGCAAAACAGACGCAUUUGGCUAAGACCUGCACGAUGCACAAACUCCAUAAUGUUGGUGUGAAUAAAUAAAACUAACAUAUAAAACAAGGGAGCAAAAACAUGGUAAAUAAGAUGUAUUAUUUGGAUAGUUGUUGAACCAACCAACACAAUUUAGUGUUAAAAGGGAAAGAAAGUGUUGAUGUCACUCGAUCUAUAAUCGUAUUUAUAUAGUUGGAAAUAAUGUAAGUAGCUUUCGCUAAAUACUUAUUAUACACAACAUAGGUUGAUGAAGACCACAAAUCAAACAGUUUAUAAAAACAAACAUAGUACAAGAUAGAGUUGUUUUUCCAAAUACAAUAACUUAUAAUUAAACAAGAACAUCUACUGAUCAUUUUUUUCAGGUAAUGUAUAACAAUUGGACAUGUUUGUUUAAGGGGGAGUGUUGAAAGUAAGAGUAUUGUAGGGUUUUGGUGUGUAGUUUAGUCCCAUAUAGCUUAGAUAUAAAUACCAUUACGUCCAACAACGACUCACACUCACAGGUCUAAUUGUAUAUUGGGUUUGGGUUUGUAAUUUGUACAGAGACCAACCCUCAGCCCAUAAGGACAAGUCCAGCCCUCAUUCCCUCACUUUUUAUCACUAGGACUACUGGUGGUCAGUAAGUCAGCAACUAGCCGAAGUCACUUUACUUGGGCCACGCGUGGAUGGUAACAAUAGUGUUUGGAUCGGACAUGGUAGACUCAUGAUUUGUACUACUUGUGGGAGCACUAUUUAAAAAAAAAAAAAAAAAAAAAAAAAAAAGACCAGACUUGAUUGAUGUAUUCGGGGACCAUGCGGCCCAUUGUAAGCAUUACCCCGGCUUCAAGUACAGGCAUGACCACGUUAGAGAUAUCUUGUGUGAUGUGUUCUGGCGGGCUGGAGUACAGGUUAAGAAGGAGGCUCCUGUUAACUUUCUUACUGAUCCUAAGGAAGGAAGAUCGACAUUACGUCCUGCUGAUAUUCUGGUCUACAACUGGUCUGAAGGUAAACAUGCGUGUGUUGAUGUUACAGGGGCGUCUCCGAUGGUUGGGCUGGGUGCUAGGAUUUUUGAGGUGGGGCUAGCAGCUAGCAAUGCAGCAGCAGCAAAAGUGGAGAAACAUGACGGAGCUUAUAGGGCUAACCAACAUAGUUUCAUCCCCUUUGCAUUUGAUAUAUUUGGAUUGCUAAGCUUAGAAGCAGUUGAGCUCCUCAGGAGAGUGCAGAAGGUAAUGGAUAGCAACGUGAUGACUGCGGGUUCGAACGAAUAUGUAUUUAGGAGAAUCGGGUUUGCUAUCCAGAAAGAACUUGCCGCGCAGUUUGUAGCGCGUUUGUCCUCUACUUUUGUGUAAUUCGUUUAGCUUAUCAAUAAAAUUUGUUUUUAUUAAAAAAAAAAAAAAAAAAAAAAAUCAAAGCGGGUUUGGCAUGUACCCCUAACUGUGCAUUGAAAAAAUGAGGGGAGAGGAGGGGCAUAAAGACUAACCCCUUAAUACAAACAAUGGCCCAAAGGCCUGGAAGGAAGCCCAACAAAACAUGCUUCAAACCAAGGCCCAAAGCCUGCAAAGAACCUAUCUAUAGUCUAGGCUAGCUAGACCUGAUGGAUCAGAGGAGUGGACUUGCUAAAGUAGCCUUCGACCAAGUUAAUAGAAGAUGAAGUGCCAACCCCACUAACGAGAAACUUGAACAAUGCAGUAGCAUUAAAGCAACCAUCUGCAGCAGCAAAAAUGGCAUCCAACUCUUCAACUUCUUUCUCUUAUUCCUCCUCUUCUGCAGCAAACAACAAUAGUGAGGUCCGCAAUGUCCCAAUCUCAGAGAGGAUGAAAGCAGCGAUCAUGAGAUCUCUAUGUACAGUUCACUUUGACGACUUCACAAGCUUCCAUGAAGGAGUUCAAGAAUUUGGUGCUAAGAUAAACAACGAAUGGGAUGGCCUGCAUACUCAUUUAAUAGUUUUCUUCCCCCCAACACCAAAGAGAGUUGGAGGGAAGAAUUUGUUUAACUUAAGGAGCUGGCUUGAUUAUGGAUUGGGAGGAAAAGUCAAAUCUUUGUGCAAUCCAUGGGUGGAUUAUGGUAUUUCAAGGAUCAAGACUUGUGAGGAAUGCAAAAAUGCUUCUAAGUAUGUUCCUCGUCCAUCAUCAGAUGAGAUUAUAGAGAUAAGCAAUGAUGAGGAGGAGGGGAAUGGCAUUGAAGAGGAUGAGGGUGAAGAAGAUGAAGGAUUUGAAAGGACUGGGGAUGAAACUGAGGAGGAAGAGACAGAACAAGAGGAAAGCUUGACACUUGCUGAGGGAUACCAAACUGAGGAGAGCAUGCAUACAGAUGAGAAGCACAUAGCAGUAUGUGGACCAUUUGGGGGAGACUCUGAAAGUGAUGCUGCAAGGGGGAGCUCAGGGAAUGGAGAUCAAGAGGAGGAGAGCAGCCCCAGUGGUGAUUCCUCCAAUUAAGUUAAGGAAAUUUUGAGAAUUGUUGUGAAUCCCUAAGAGGCUGGAAUUUCCCAAUUAGGUAUUAUGUCAGAUAUUUGGAAUGUUGAACUUAUCUCCUGAGAGUAGUUGUUUUAGGACUUUGUUUGUGUUUGGAUUUGCAGCACCAUCUGCAUGUAGCUUUAAACCUAAACUUGUUAAGUAAUCAGCUACUUUGUUGCCCUCUUUGAAUGUAUGAAUAAUAUGUGUGUUGAGACCAUCUGCUAUCUCCCAAAUCUACCUCAACGUUAACAAAACUCUGAGGUGUCAUGGGACUGAUAAUUUCUUUGUUAACUAAAGUGUCACCAGCUUAGAAUCAGUGGUGAUUUGAACAUUAGUGAAACCUAGGUUUCUGCAUAGGACAAGGCCAUUGACCUGACCUGUGACUUACAUCAUUAAUGUUGAAUUAUUUAGUGUUCGUGCUCAAUAGCCCAACCAUUCCAUCUCACAUUCACUCUAUGCCUCACAAGUUGUAUAAGACAUAGGUUUGAUGCACCUACACUGGCAUGCUAAAGGAACGUCAAUAAUCAUGACUAUUCUCAACAAAAAAAAUCAUGAAUAAGGCACCUGUUAGACACAUGAAGACAUAUCCACAGCACUAGUUCUUACAAAAUAGCAAAGUUAUGUAACAGCCUGCUCUACUUUACCACCUAAACAUAAAUUUGAUUCUUGACAUAAUGAAAAGUGUCUUGUGGAGAUUUUCUUCUAUGUUGUUAAACGUGGCAUACCUUGUACCUACCACUACUUUCCAAGUUUCUAAAAGUGUCUUAUGAUUAAAUUUCCAAGUUUCUAAAAGUGUCUUAUGAUUAAAUCUUUACAGGAUUAUUUUUAAACUUUUGGUAAAGGACAAUACAAAGUGCCUCACGCAUCCCCAUCUUCGACUAAAAGACCAUGUGGGAGCUUCGUUGGAUGGAUAUUUACUACUACUAACACAAAAGGCGAUUUAGAUUGGUACCGAGGGUAUCUCAUCAUUUUUACAAUAUUUUGUAGGAUAUGACCCUUUUUGCCUCGCAAUGCGCAUUUUAUCAGUUAGAUGUCAUUGUAUACCUCAAAGAGUCUUGACAUAUAUAACAAUAAAACAUCAUUAAAAGGUAAUAAGUUCAUCCUGGGAAAAUUGGCUCAUGCAAAAGAAAAACGUCUAUAAUAACAACACAAUUACAAUUUUUAUCCCAAUAAAUUUCAUAUAUUAACUACAUACGUUAAAAAAUGCAUACCAUACUUAAAAGAAAAAAAAAUCACGCUAAAUAGGGAACAAAUUAAUCAGAAAAUCUCGUGAUUUUGUUAAAUAUUAACAAUUUUAGAUGAUGCCAACAACUCAUUUAAAAUCUUUUUCGAGAUUCUAUAUAUACCCCCAAGUGGUGAAUACAUCUGAUCACAAAAUCACAUAGCUCUUCUUUAACCAUGGUUUGGGGAAAGGUGAAACUGGCAUACAUUCAUAACAAUGCUUCAAGGAGAAAGAGUUACGCAAAGAAUGAAUGGUUUUAAGAAGAUGUUAACUGAACUUAUCACCCUACGUGGAUUGAUGAUGGCUUGUGGUAUCAUCUAUGGUCAAACUCCUGAAAUUGGGCACUACCUAGAUGAUGCUAGUCAAGUUAUGAGUUAGACCUUCAGUCAAUAAGGAGCAACAAAAGAAGCUGGUGUCUAUAGAAGAUUUCCUCAUGAAGAGGGUUAAAAAAAAAUGAAAAAUGAACUGAUGAUAGAAAUUGAAGCAAUUCGAUGUCAUGAGAAUACGAGAUGCACACUCUUAUGUAUAAGUUCUUGAAGGAAGGAUCUGAAGCCCUACAUGGUAUUAGUCGUCCAAGAAAAGAUGGAGACUCUAUGUAAUAAUAAUUAGUUUCGCAUUCACAAUUUUGUAAUUGUUUUUUGUCAUAUAAUAUGAGGCUAGGUAGUACCUUGCUCUCAAACCUUCAUUGGACCAAUUUUGAAGGAAAGACUUUCCCAGUAUCUACUCCAGAUUUGGAUUCUGCUUCAAAUUUAUUGGUAGUAAUUUGUGUUUAGCUUAUUUUUAACUAUUGACAUUAUUUAAAUAUCAAACAUCGAAAAAUCAAGAUAAGAAAACUAAAAAGGAUACACGGGAACUAAAUAUAGAGGGGCAAGAGACAAUGUGAACAACACACCCACUAUGCAUGUAUCAAGGUUAGUAUAGCGUUUCGUGAUUGGAGUGAAUAAGUAUACAGAUGUAAACUAACUUACUAUUGAUCGUAUAUGGUAAAAAAAACUUGAAGCACCUGAUGUGUAAGAAAAGAAAGUCUUCUCGCAAUGGCGAGUUGGCUUCUAGAAAGGGAUUCCUGUUUAUCAGAUUUGAUCCAUCAUCCAAUCUGAAUUGAUAAAACCAAAUGCAUUUGAAUCAACAUAUUGGAAUGUUGAAUCAGCUUCAGAUCAAUAAAUUAUGACUCAAAAGUUUUGGAUUGACCACACUCCAAUCUCAUAAUGAAUCGAUAUAUGUGUGUCUUUGAUGCUUGAAAUGAUCAACUCAAAAUAAUGGCAUUGUUUUUGCAUCCGAUCAUAGCAUAUAUUCGUAUGGCUCUAUGAGGUUAUAAAGACUCAAAAUAAUGGCAUUGUUCUUGCAUCCGAUCAUAGAAUAUAUUCGUAUGGCUCUAUGAGGUUAUAGAGACUCAAAAUAAUGGCAAUGUUCUUGCAUCCGAUCAUAGAAUAUAUUCGUAUGGCUAUAUGAGGUUAUAGAGACUCAAAAUAAUGGCAUUGUUCUUGCAUCCGAUCAUAGCAUAUAUUCGUAUGGCUCUAUGAGGUUAUAGAGACACAUAUGCAUAUAGAGAAAGAAUGGUUGUAAGGCGGUCGUAUUAACAAAUUUACUUAAUAAAACAUGUUUUUUAAUCAUAAACUUGUUGUUUCACGAAAUAAUUGAACUAACAAAUUGUGGUAACCAAUGCAGGAAAAAUAAACACGACAAAAGUAAAUUUGAAGCCCAGCUUGAAAAUCAAUUUAUUUAAAGCCAAUUCAUGUUAGUAUCAGAAAAUUAGCAUUAAUAUCUUCACCACCAAACAAUGAGUAAAGUUCAUUUUGAAAAGGAAGAUCCAAGUUAAUAAAAAUAUAGUCUUAUAGAACAAACGUACCUGAAAUUAUAAAUUCUCAAGUUUGUCGGCCACCACAUCUUUCAGCUGACAACAGUCAAGAUCUACAAAAAAGAUAAACCACAUAUUAGACUACUAAAACAAAAUCUAAUGAUAUAACAAAACAAACUAGUGGGAUGGAUACUGUACAAAACCAAACAAAAUCUAAUGACAAUCCCAUCUUCACCUUCCAUGUGUCUUCAUCUGAAUACUGUGCAAAAUUGGGUAAAACUUGCCCCCUCACCAGUUCCUUCAAUGGAAAACCGGUUCCAAAGCUUAUUUUCCCUUAGUAGACUUGGAUCAAAGCUGGCUUGCGACUCCUUAUCAAAGCUUAUUUUCCCUUAAUUGCAUGGACCAAUCAAACAGACCCUUAAUCAAAUAUAACAACAAAGGUAGAAAACCAUGAAUCAAACAGUUGAUAGACAUAUGUAGAAAACAAAACUAGAGACUUAUAUAAUAAUAAAUAAUAGACAAACAAAAGACUUAUCUUCAGGAACUAAUUUGAUGGAGGAAACCAAAUGACCAAUUGCAUGAACAUGAGGGUUUACAUUCGGGUUUAUAAAAGGAUUUCAGAAAAACACGAUUGCCACUCAAAACUCAAAAGGAAAAGGGUUUAGAAAAUGCAGAGAAAUGGUGGUGUAAUGGUUUUGACUUGUAAGUGAGAGUAAACUU
rnacentral:lncRNA from 1 species